ACCCUGCAACGGGCAUCGCCUUGACGCGGCGCAUGGGCUUUCCCGGCCAUUUGGCAUUUAUGUUGUUGCAUAAUGCCAAAUGAGCCAAGAAUGCC
rnacentral:ribozyme from 1 species